rnacentral:tRNA from 4 species
GGGCUUGUAGCUUAGUUCGGAAGAGCGACGGACUCUUAAUCCGUAGGUCAAGGGUUCAAAUCCCUUCAGGCCCGC